ACGUGCAACUAAAAAACGAUAAGUGAAAAAAAGAAAAAAAAAAAAUAUACAAAAUUUUCCAGCAUCCGAUCGAACCAAACCGUUUUAGCUGGAGCUCAUUCACCGUUUCUGCUGGACCAGACACCGGAAACCUCGGAACCUGGAAUAUUGGGCAGGCAUGCAGGCACGAACGGGUACGUGCUCCUGGAGGGCGCAUGCCGGAAUACAGCCUGCCUUUCAGAGCCGCAGGAAUCUAGAUCCGAUCCUGAACGGAUAUUCUCAUCCGCAUAUUUGUUCCAUGAAAGAUCGAUGGGCGGAAUAGAUUCAUCAGACCUCAAACUCCAACUCCAUAGGGCCGACAUUCCGUCAAUCCCGCAUGGACGGCCAUCAAUAGGUCCUUCCAGAGUUGGCCUUUACCACAAGCAGCAUCGCCGCUUUCAUUAUUGGAGCUUGAGGAGACAAUGGUUGGUUUGGUGGCUAUACCCCGUUAAAUGGAGUGAAUAAAUAAAGAAAAAUUGAAAAAAAAACAUUUCUAUAUCAAUACAGCAGAACCUGAAAAUAUGUUCUAGUUAAUUUAUAUGAAAUACAUUGAAUUGUUACUAAUCACUUUAAUUUUUAAAACCACAACAAAAUGUAAUUUUGAA